rnacentral:lncRNA from 1 species
GAGACAACCCUGCCAUCGAGGAGAUUACAGGCCAGAGAAAGAGUUCUCAACCCUGGUCCUGUCAAGACUUCCCACUGACGUCAACUCGAGGCCUAAUCUUCCCACACUGACCAUUUUUUCACUUCCAAUAUAAUUUUUAAAAAAUUAAAUACACUAUGUAUCACUUUUGGAAAAGGGAAGAAGCUGGCACGAAGUGUGAAAUCAAGCACAAAAAAGUUAAGAUGUUGGUAAUAAAUAUAUGUCACCCUUCAUGAACUAAUCUGAGAAUGGCCAAGUGCAAGCUGAAAAAGCAAAAAGACGGACAACAACGGAGUUAACAAAACGGGGUGGAAAUAUUGGUAACACACGGCUAGGUGCUAUUUUAAAAGAAAAAAAUGUCAUUAGGACAUAAAAAGAUUAGAAAUCAGAGCCCAAAGGAUUCAGACAGGGACAGAGCAGGACUCUGAUGAGGCAGGUAAGGUGCCUGGCCUAGACAAGGGCCUUGUCACGAUUCCAGUGUCUCUAGGUCAGGAAAGUAUGAAAAAGCAAAGAGAGGCAGGUGGGGACUGGGCCAACAGACAACACGUCACUCCUCUAAAGCUGUCAUUUUGUCAAGUGCAAUUCUGCCGUGGAACGGUCUUUCAGUUUCCCAAGAAAAGAAAAGAAGAGAAAUCAGCUCUUUAUUUGAAAGUGUCUGGUUUUUAAAGUUUGACAAGUUUAAUUGACACUUUGAAGAAACACUCAACAAGAAGACAAAACACUUGCACAACCAACCAUCUGCAGACAGAGUCUGGCCCGAGCCCACCCGUUUGCAGCCUCUGUCUUGGAACAAGAGCUAGCUUUCAGGAGAGCAUCUGGCUUCCAUCAGAAUCUGACUCACCUUCCACGCAAGGGCUGGUGCAGACCUCGGAGAUCAGAAAGCGUGUGGCUCUCCAGGUCCGCCCGUGCCUAAAAUCCCUUCACUUGUGUGUUUUAAGCAUGAGGCGCUCACCAGAAACCUGACCGUGGUUCCUGCACAGAGUGGGUUUGCUGUGAGCCAGAGACCAAAGCUUACAUGAGCCUCGAAGCCUAGCUGAGUUUUUGUAUUCUCUUUCUUAUUGAGUCUCACCCAAACUGUGUCAGCUUUGUCUCAUGAUGAUGUCUCCUGCAUUCAGGGCACUGGUUAAAUGUGUGGAGGUGAUGAUGGUGAUUAUUGGGGGUAAUAAUAGCUGUAGUUGUAAACAUUUGGGUAUGAACAAUGGAGCAACAGCCAAGAAUUACACAGACCCUUGCUGGGCAUUUGGUGGCACAUCACCCACAGCUCAGUGACCAGGGAGUCUGUAAAAGUGUCGCUCUGUCCCACCACCCUGGGGAGGGCAGCUGGGAGCUGCAUCUGUUUCUAAGAGUUUAUCUAAGUGUUCGAUGGGAUCCUUUCUUUCGAUGAAAUGGCCUCUUGGACAGCAAUGUCAUCUGGAAGAACCUGGGAAUCUUGUGAAGCGAUGAAAUGGCCCUUGACCUUCGUAAGUCGAAGGUGAAUUUUCUAAAAUCCUGACAAGGGGUAGAGCCGUGUGAAAGGAGCUGGAAGUCCCCUCUGAUUUGGUCCCAGGUCAGCUGCCUUCAUCCGGAGGAGCAGGCACUCCUGGGGUA